rnacentral:rRNA from 1 species
UCUUGGCUCGGAGGACAUUAUCGAGUUUUUUGAACGGGUUGUCGCUGGCCUUUCACGAGGCAUGUGCACGCCUGGCUCAUCCACUCUCAACCUCUGUGCACUCUAUGUAAGAAACGGUGGACGUGCUGGCUCUUUGAGUCGGUAAGAAAGCCUUUUCUUAUGUUUUACUACAAACGCUUCAGUUAUAGAAUGUUUACUGUGUAUAACACAAUAUAUACAACUUUCAGCAACGGAUCUCUUGGCUCUCGCAUCGAUGAAGAACGCAGCGAAAUGCGAUAAGUAAUGUGAAUUGCAGAAUUCAGUGAAUCAUCGAAUCUUUGAACGCACCUUGCGCUCCUUGGUAUUCCGAGGAGCAUGCCUGUUUGAGUGUCAUGGAAUUCUUCAACUCCCCAUUUUUAUUAAUGGGCGAGCUUGGACUUGGAGGUCGUGUCGGCUCUUGUAGUCGACUCCUCUUAAAUGUAUUAGCGUGAAUCUUACGGAUCGCCUUCAGUGUGAUAAUUAUCUGCGCUGUGGUGUUGAAGUAUUUUAUAGUUUGUGCUUACAAUCGUCUCGCAAGAGACAACCUUGACAAUCUGACCUCAGAUCAGGUAGGACUACCCGCUGAACUUAAGCAUAUCAAAAACGGGGAAAAAAAACG